CCUACGGGUGGCAGCAGUGAGGAAUAUUGGUCAAUGGGCGCGAGCCUGAACCAGCCAAGUCGCGUGAGGGAAGACGGUCCUAUGGAUUGUAAACCUCUUUUGUCGGGGAGCAAAAGACGCCACGCGUGGCGUUCCGAGAGUACCCGAAGAAAAAGCAUCGGCUAACUCCGUGCCAGCAGCCGCGGUAAUACGGAGGAUGCGAGCGUUAUCCGGAUUUAUUGGGUUUAAGGGGUGCGCAGGCGGAAGAUCAAGUCAGCGGUAAAAUUGAGAGGCUCAACCUCUUCGAGCCGUUGAAACUGGUUUUCUUGAGUGAGUGAGAGGAUAGUGGAAUUCCAGGUGUAGGAGUGAAAUCCGUAGAUAUCUGGAGGAACAUCAGUGGCGAAUGCGACUAUCUGGCACAUAACUGACGCUGAGGAGCGAAAGCGUGGGUAGCAAACAGGAUUAGAUACCCUUGUAGUC
rnacentral:rRNA from 1 species